rnacentral:snoRNA from 1 species
UUGCCCAAUGAUUAUAGCAAGACGCGUUAUUAUGAGGACUAAUGCUGGAACUCUUUACUACUUCUCCUCCUCCUUUGUCCCUUCCUCUUUCACCUUACCCCUCCCUUUCCUUAGGGUAUCCAGCGUCCUGUGAGCAAGACUGAGAUAUGAGGGCAA